AUGGCCAGAGUCAGCUAUAUCAUGAAGAUAUCAUCUGCGGGUGCCCAUUUUGAUUGUUCACUGGUACACCUCCCAAACUGUUUCAUUUGCAGUGAAGAUUGUACAGUGUCUUCUCAGUGUCUAUUGCGAGCUUGCUUCGAGUUGCAUUCUUAUAUGCAAGAAGAAGACUCUGAAAGUAUCUAUCUGAGUUUGCAUAAAGGAAAAUUUCUGUUGUUCUUUCCACUGUCCAACUUUGGGUGUUUUGAACCAUGUUGUUUGAUUGACAAGGUAAAUUUUAUGAAGAUUGUCACCAUGAUGUUUCGAGUAUCAUUGAUCUCGGUGAUUUGGAUUUUUGUGAUCCCUUCACAUGUAUAUAGAUGA
rnacentral:rRNA from 1 species